rnacentral:tRNA from 1 species
GGGAUUAUAUUUUAUUUCUUAAAAUAUUUGAUUUGCAUUCAAAAGAAUUUUAAUUCUA